GAUGAACGCUAGCUACAGGCUUAACACAUGCAAGUCGAGGGGAAACGGCAUUGAGUGCUUGCACUCUUUGGACGUCGACCGGCGCACGGGUGAGUAACGCGUAUCCAACCUUCCCAUUACUGUGGGAUAACCUGCCGAAAGGCAGACUAAUACCGCAUAGUCUUCGAUGACGGCAUCAGAUUUGAAGUAAAGAUUUAUCGGUGAUGGAUGGGGAUGCGUCUGAUUAGCUUGUUGGCGGGGUAACGGCCCACCAAGGCGACGAUCAGUAGGGGUUCUGAGAGGAAGAGCCCCCACAUGAGAACUGAGACACGGUCCAAACUCCUGCGGGAGGCAGCAGUGAGGCAUAAUGGUCAAGGGACGGAAGUCUGAACCAGCCAAGUAGCGUGAAGGAGGACGGCCCUAUGGGUUGUAAACUGCUUUUGUAUGGGGAUAAAGUUAGGGACGUGUCCCUAUGUGCAGGUACCAUACGAAUAAGGACCGGCUAAUUCCG
rnacentral:rRNA from 1 species